UACGGAGGGGGUUAGCGUUGUUUGGUAAUUACUGGGCGGUAAAGCGCACGUAGGCGGAUCAGAAAGUUGGGGGUGGAAAUACCCCGGGGCCGUCAACCCCGGAACUGCCUCCAAAACUUACUGGUCUGGAGUUCGAGAGAGGUAAGUGGAAUUCCGAGUGUAGAGGUGAAAUUACGUAGAUAUUCGGAGGAACACCAGUGGCGAAGGCGGCUCACUGGCUCGAUACUGACGCUGAGGUGCGAAAGUGUGGGGAGCAAACAGGAUUAGAUACCCCGGUAGU
rnacentral:rRNA from 1 species